GAAUCCUCGAGGCCCCCUUCCACUCCGGUCUCUCAAGAUAACAUGGCAACAGCAAGGGUCAAACUAAACGUACCCCAAGGAGUGAAUCUUGAGGACCCCAAAGUCAGCGAAGCCAUUUUAGAGCAGAUUCGGGAGCACCUCUCCAAGAACAUUCCAAUGGACGACGUUAAUCUGCGCUGGAGAAAACAAGACGGGGAGAUAUUCCACAAGGAGGAAGAGGAGGAGGAGGAGGAGAAGAAGAAGUACUUCAAGCCGUGAGAUACCAGCGCCCACAAUGACAAGCGUGGGCUUUCAGAGCAGCACUGUCUUAUAUUAAUCUGACAUUAUCUACUGGUUUACAUUAAUCUGACAUUAUCUACUGGUUUACAUUAAUCUGACAUUAUCUACUGGUUUAUAUUACUCUGACAUUAUCUACUGGUUUAUAUUACUCUGACAUUAUCUACUGGUUUAUAUUACUCUGACAUUAUCUACUGGUUUAUAUUAAUCUGACAUUAUCUACUGGUUUAUAUUACUCUGACAUUAUCUACUGGUU